GAGAAGCAAAAAUGCUGAUGAAUAAGUUGCAUCAAGAAAAUAAUCUUAGAGGUAACUCAAGCCAGAAGGAGAGAUCGAAGGUCAUUCCAACGUCUAUUUAGUGGACAAUAUGGGAAGAAAGGAACAAAAGAUGCUUUGAAGAUAAAUCAAGUCAUAUCCAGAAGAUGAAGUUGAAGUGUUUGGUACUUUUGUAUUUUUGGUGUAAAGGAACAUGUGUAGAAGAUCUUGAUUCAGUUUUUGAUAUUUUAAACUCCUUCUAUAUGAUAGUGGAGCUGUAGGUUUGGUCUCUGUACAGUCCUG
rnacentral:misc_RNA from 1 species